rnacentral:rRNA from 1 species
UGCUUCUGAUUUGCUUAUUGCACCACAUGUGUUUUUCUUUGAAACAAACUUGCUUUGGCGGUGGGCCCAGCCUGCCGCCAGAGGUCUAAACUUACAACCAAUUUUUUAUCAACUUGUCACACCAGAUUAUUACUAAUAGUCAAAACUUUCAACAACGGAUCUCUUGGUUCUCGCAUCGAUGAAGAACGCAGCGAAAUGCGAUACGUAAUAUGAAUUGCAGAUAUUCGUGAAUCAUCGAAUCUUUGAACGCACAUUGCGCCCUCUGGUAUUCCGGAGGGCAUGCCUGUUUGAGCGUCGUUUCUCCCUCAAACCGCUGGGUUUGGUGUUGAGCAAUACGACUUGGGUUUGCUUGAAAGACGGUAGUGGUAAGGCGGGAUCGCUUUGACAAUGGCUUAGGUCUAACCAAAAACAUUGCUUGCGGCGGUAACGUCCACCACGUAUAUCUUCAAACUUUGACCUCAAAUCAGGUAGGACUACCCGCUGAACUUAAGCAUAUCAAAAACGGGAGGAAAA